AUUUGUUCCUACACUCUAAAAAAUGCUGGGUUAUUUGUUUAACCCAACAGCUGGGUUGAGCCUGUUGGGUCAUUUUGUUGGGUUAUUUUCUUAGUGUUGGGUCAUUUUUUGAGUAACCCAAACGCUGGGUUACCAGUCGGGUCCAAUUGAGUGACAGUUGAGAGAUUAAACCCCUCCCACUCCUCUACGCAUCAGACAAACUCUACCUUCGCGGGCAUUUUGAUCCACUUCAUCUCGGAAAGCUGUUAUUCGGAGAAUAAAAGGUUGCAGAAUAACAGCUAAUAUUAAUGGAUCAUUCUAUUCAAGAGAAUGUCAACUGGAACUUGGAUGUUUUCAUAACAGGCUUAAAGAUGAACAAAUUGAUAAAGAAACCCUCCUGCUGGACAUCCACUUCCAAAAGUGCACACCAAACUGUUUUCUACAAACUCCCAGGAAAAGAAUCCUCUUUAGUAAGACUGCUCCGUGGAUAUUUUAGGUUAAGCAGUGCUGAAACCGAAAGAACUAACACUAUUGAAAAUGUUUUGUGAGUUUAUAUGAAGAGGAAAGUUACGGUGUCCCUUUUUCACAUCCAUAACGCUUGUUUAUUUCUUUUUUUAUAGAAAACUUGUGCAUAGAUUUAUAUUUUAUCAUAUAAAUGCGGUUCUAUCAACAAGGGUUUAGUAAAAUACUUUUUAUAGUGUUUUGAAGUGUUAAGUUGUCUAACUAUUUAUAUUUACUUGUGCCACUUUAAUAACCUUGUUAAAUGUAUAUGUUAAAAUCUAAACUAAUGUAAUUUAUUGAAGUUAAUUUUCUUUAAAUAUGUAUAAACAUACAUUUCAUCAAAGUGUUUUAUAUGCCAUUUUAUUGUUC